rnacentral:rRNA from 1 species
UACGUAGGGUGCAAGCGUUAAUCGGAAUUACCGGGCGUAAAGCGUGCGCAGGCGGUUGGGCAAGACAGAUGUGAAAUCCCCGGGCUUAACCUGGGAAUUGCAUUUGUGACUGCACGGCUAGAGUGUGUCAGAGGGGGGUAGAAUUCCACGUGUAGCAGUGAAAUGCGUAGAUAUGUGGAGGAAUACCGAUGGCGAAGGCAGCCCCCUGGGAUAACACUGACGCUCAUGCACGAAAGCGUGGGGAGCAAACAGG